UUGCACAUUUCAUUGUCCCACUUCUUUACCUGUAAGAUCUGAGAUAUUUCUGAUGUGCUAUAGUAAGUGGAGGUAAAUUAGCAGCGUGGCUGUACAGUGUCACCUCUGCCAGUCCCCUUCAUACAACC
ensembl:snoRNA